CUGAUGGACAAGAAGUGCGUGUUUCUUUGCUGUUCAUAAUUCAUGUGUUUUUCAAGCUAUACACACAAGGAUUUAGGCUGGAAUAUCAACUUCUGCUCAUUCGUCGUAAGGUUCAAUCAACCAGUGGUGCAGGGAAUUGAUUGUAUAGUCAGCCUUGAUUGCAUCAGAUUCUUCGCCUGUGAAAAUUAUACAAAGGAAUGCAACAUUUUGCUUUAGCUUUAGGGGGUGGAUUUUCCUGUUCAUUUCUUUCAUUCGUGGAACUUAACUAUAUGCGUGAUUAAAAUCAAUGGAUCCGCCACUUUGUGGAAUUUAGAAGUGUAAGGCAGACGCGUACUUUGAAGGACCUGGAUGUGAUUACUGUGACCCACUUUUCACUAGGAAUAUAAAUUUUGUCAAGCAAUG